UGAAAGUGAAUUCAGAUCCCUUUA
rnacentral:piRNA from 1 species